rnacentral:snRNA from 1 species
CACAACUUUCAGAACUAA